AAGGGUUGAGAUACUAAUGAGAUACUAAUGUCGCACAAGGCGGAGGCCAGGAUGCUUCAGAGGUGGGGGAGGCCACAGGAAGAGAGGAGGUGGCAGGCAGGAACCCACUUGACAGGUAGCGUUAACCCCGUCCCUGAACUGGUUCGACAGGAAGAAGCUCCACCCACCGGGUCCCCCAUCACACAGGGGGGUGAUGAAGGGGGGGCGCUGGCCCUUUAAGAACCUCUCCUCCGCUGGCCCUGCGCCCCUGUCAGUUACUGUGAUCCCGGUUCCGACGCGCUGCAGCUGUCCUACUACUACUCUCGGCCUUUGGCUCUCAGAUGCGGACUGCAUAUGGCACACCUUGGUUGUUGAGGAGACACAGUGAGAGAGGGAACACAAGCAGGGGAAGACGCAGGCAGACACCCAACGACCGUGCCACGUAGGCACCCCAAAAGAGCAGCCAGGGCUAGAGGACUGCAGCCUGAGCACUUGACAGGAAAGUGUUCCAGUAAGACCACACUCCUUGAAGAGCCCCAGAAAUGAAGAGAAAGGAAAGGAAGAGAAACUACUCACCAACUUUGACCCGAAGCUCAGAGUCUGGAGAUAAAAACUCGAAGCCCCACGUUCAGGAGCCAUACGAUGUGGUUUUGGCAUAAAGGGACCACAGCAGUCUCACUGUAAGGACGCGCGUAUUCUUCGGAGGCUAACACCGCGCAGUGCACCUAGAAGGAACCCAAAGUACCCUCAAACAGAACUAGACUUUCCGAGCUCUGAGGGUAGAGACCAACCAAUCCGCUUCACUUUACGGGCGGGAUAACUCACUCCAAGCCGGAUUCCCUUGCCUAAGGUCUGCCGGUUACCGCACACAAUCUCGUAAUGAAGCAGCGCCCACGCGGGGUCUCCGCGUCCUUUCUGGCACGUGUACAGGGGCGAAGAGACUCCGCCUAACAAGUGUGGACACAAACGGGUCCCCUGUGGUGCUAACGCGCAUCGGACCAAUUUCAGUUUGAAAAAUAGCCUCACACCCGCUAGUCCCGAGUGGCCCUCGGGCCGGUGGCCCCCGUCUGCACUUUCUCGAGGGCAGAGCGGCGGGCGCGGGUUUUCCUCCGGCUUCGGAUGCGUGUGUCCUAAGUGCUCCCGAGUGAACCGGAGACGCGGUCCGGCCGGGAGGCCGUGCGCUCGGGCCGGGCUCCGCGGCUGCGGGGAGAG